rnacentral:rRNA from 1 species
AACGUAGGAGACAAACGUUAUCCGGAGUUACUGGGCGUAAAGGGCGUGUAGGUGGUUUUGUAAGUCUGGCGUGAAAUUUUUCGGCUUAACCGGGAAAGGUCGUCGGAUACUGCAGGACUAGAGGACGGUAGAGGCGUGUGGAAUUCCGGGUGUAGUGGUGAAAUGCGUAGAUAUCAGGAGGAACACCAGUGGCGAAGGCGGUGUUCUGGGCCAGUACUGACGCUGAGGCGCGAAAGCGUGGGGAGCGAACAGG